UCCAAGGUCACAGAGAUUUUCUCUUGUUUUCUUCUGAAUGUUCAUAGGUUUAUUUCUUACACUUAAUAAGAAUCGUAGGUCUAUGAUUCAUUUUGAGUCAAUUUUUGCUUGUGUUAUGAAGGGUCUAAAUUCAUUUUUUUCUUGUGAUUAUCUAAUUGUCCCAGCACCAUUUGUUAAGAAGAUGGCUGUGUAGUUGUUGACUCUGCUUUUAUUACUUUUGCACCUUUAAAGAUUGGAGAAGUAGGUAGAGCACAAAGAAUUGAUGUAUGAGUGAAGAGGAAGAGACUAUUCUGUGUUGAAGUUUUAAGCAUUUACAUGAGAGACUAAGCAUCUGGCUGAUGUUUUAAAGAACAACUUGAAUCACAAUUUAGUUUGUUUCCUUCAUCUUCCCCAUUCCCUCCCCAACCCUGCACUGAACAUCUGCUUCUUUUCUGCCAGAGGAAGUGAAAGAUUUAGGUCAUGCAUAAACACAAACUGUCUUUACUGCACUGUUCCCUUUUAAGAAAAAAGUAUCACCAAAACACCCCUGCUGGGUCAGUUUACCAUCCAAUUACUCUAUAUCAACAGUUCUAUUGCUUUUUUUGGAAGUUGGCAUUCCCCAGGAAGCAGAACUGCUUUUGGUGGUUCUUGUUGUUAUGUAAUAAAUCUAACUGGUAACUUUCAAGGAUGCUGAUAGGAGUUAAGAGAGACCAUUCCUCAAAUAUCACAGAACUUUCCUUUAUAUCCGAGUUACUGAUGAAUUUCUCCUAAGAAAUAUCUUAGGAAAUGUCACCAGAUUUGGGAACACUCCACAUCCAGAUGUUGCAUUUGUUUGUGGUGCUGGGUAACCCCAAAUAAGGAUAGGUUCAGUUACCUUCAGGGUUGAUUGAUACAAGGCAGUAAGACCAGAAUCCUUGGGGAAGGCUGUCCCUAGAAAAAUACCACUCAUUCUAUCUUAUGUCUUCACAAUGAACAGGAUGAUUACAUCUUCCUUUUUGGAAAUUUACUGAGUUUCUGUGUUUUAUGAUGCUGACCCAGCAGCUAUAACCAGGGCACUUUUGUCUUCUGCCUUUGCCAAAGAUGGCUCACAAUCAGUGCUGUGGUGCCAUCAUUAUCAUCAUCAUCACCACCACCAUCGUCACAUCAUCUUCACCAUCUUCAAUACCAUCACCAUAAUGAUGAGGCUUUUAUUCUGAAGCUCUGUUGUUUUCAAUGAAAAGACAUGGUCCCUACCCAAAAGGAACUUACAACACAAAUGAGAAAAAUUGAGCCAAAAUAAGACUGAAAACCCGGUAACAUGUAGAAUGAUGAUGACGGUGAUGAUAAGAAACAGCAAUUUACAUCCUUUUCUGAUUUUUUAUUUAAAAAUGAGAAAAUAAUAAAAAGCCACAGAUAGAGUUAAUUUAGGAAAAUAGGAGAGUUUUUGAUGUUCCCAGUGAACAAGAUAUUGUUAACUGGCGGCUAUAAAAUGGCAAGUGGAUGAGCAUAAUGAAAACAGCUGAUGAAUAAAUAUGGGGUUAAAUCCAAGCCUAGAAAACCAGAAAAUAAAUGUGAGAUGAUUCAGUACCAACUGUAUUUUUGAUAGGCUCAUUGAUUUUUACAAAGUGCCACUGAGACAAUAGUGCCUGGAAUCAGUGGCUUCCCGCCUUGUCUGCCACUUACUGUGUAUUCAGAGUUAAGCUAUGUUACCUCCCUAAUGUUGUUUUCCCAUUAUAAAAUAGGGGGAAUAGGCUGUGUGACUAUUAAAUGAGAGAAUCCAUCUAAUGCAUUUAAUACAGUCCCUGGUGCAUAAGUGCUCAGGAAGCAUUAAGCCUCAUUAGAGGUAGUUAAUGUAAGGCAGUGGUUAAGAGGAUAAGCUCCAGUCCAGUAGGACCAAAGCAUCAACAAUAAUCUCUAUUUAACUGCUUUUUUUUUUGUCUCAAGAGUUUGAAAAUGAACCGGCUUGUGUCUUUGAAUUUCUUUAAGAUAAUCAUGAAUUUGUCAAAGGCAUUCAUGAAGUGCUUCUGGGAAGGCCAGAGUUCUCUAUUAAGACUUUUUGAUUACAAAAGGCUCUUAGAGAGUAGCGGCUAUCUACUAUUAAUGAAGCCACAUACAUAUUCAUCAUUAAGAUGACAGAACUAAAAGGGCAAAUCUUUACCUUAAAAAAUGUAAUGUUGGAUAUUUAGCGUCCAUUGCAACGUGACCUUUGUAACCCUCAGAAUUGUCCUUAUGGUGGGAGCUGGAGAGAAGAGACAGAGAAUCUGAACAUAUGUGACAUUCCCUGAUAUUUAUAGCAAAGUCAAGAACUUUUUACCCAGCAUUCAGAGGCUUUAGCAUGAUGAAAUUAGUAAAAAUAUACAUUUUAAAAACUAGUAUUUAUUGUUGUCAUAUUAUAAAAUUAAAUAAUGUUUAUUUUAGAAAAUUUAGAAACAACAAAAGAGAAGAAAGCACAAAUCUUAACAUUUUAGUAUAUUUCAGUUUUUAUAUAAAUGGCUACAUUUAACUAUUAAAACAUUUAUAGUUUUAAGAUGAAUCUUUUAAUUUCUAUGUUUCUAAAGAAUCAGGAAGUCAAUUUACUUUGGUUUGCUGGGCAUUGGUUUUUAUCAGAAGAUAACCAAAAUUAGUGUGUGUGCUUUUUUCCUUUUGAGUUCCUGCAGGAUAGAAUCUUGCUACUCAACGUGUGGCCCAGGAACCUAUAGCAUUGGUAUCAACUGAGAAUAUACUAGAAAUGAAGAAUCUUCAGACCCAACACAGACCUAGUGAAUCCAACCUAUAUUUUAAUAUGAUUUCUUGGUGAUUGUAUGCACAUUAAAUUUUGAGUAGCAUUACUGUAGAAACAACUUGACAAAGUUUUUUGUUUUUUGUUUUUUUUGCCUAAUAAGACAGUGUCGAAGGCCUGAUUAGUCCCUCUUCUCAGAACAUCCUCCCCUACCAGACAGUCAGCAGCUUCCUGGGCUCUCACUUCCACAAAGCAUUGUUGGAACAAGUCUGAUUAAAGACUCACCAAACAGCUAGGAGAUGAAAGACACAAAAUGAGUCUGGGACAUUCCAAAAUGUCAGUAAGACUCUGCACAUCUAAGGGCUGUAUUGUUCAGCAUUUUAUUACAUUUUCAAAGUACUCUUCCUGGGCUCACUGUUGAAUGACCAGGAAAUGGUGUUGAACCAAUUGAAAAACCCAGCAAUAAAGUUCAUCAAUAGUUUCAUCAGUGGGGUGCAGGGGUUUAUUGAUGUGGAAAAUUGGGGCUGACUUAAAGCACAAACAGAAGGAAAACAUUCCAAAAACAACAUGUCCUGGAGGUAGAGCAGCUUCUAAGACGGGAGUAAACAUGUACUUCCUUAACCUCACAUCCCUUAUUUCCUGGAAUAGGAAUGCAGCUACAAAGCAGGAUUGUGGAAAUUUCCUGAUGAACAUGAUUAAUAAUAGUAAUAGCCUGCAGUUGACAGCAUUUUAUGAUACACACAGUGCUUCUCAAACUUUAAUAUGCAAACUUUCAUAUGGAGGUCUUGUUAAAAUGAGGUACCGAUUUUGUAGGUCUAGGUGUGGGGCCUGAGUUGGCCUUUCUAACAAAUCCCCAACUGGUGCUAAUGUUACUGGUCCACAAACCAUAUUUUGAGUAGCAGGUUCUUACCCCGACCUCUCUCAAGAUUCACAGAAAUUCUAUGAAGUAGGUAGAGGAGACAUUUUUCCUCCCUUCCUCAUCAGAAUAUUGGCUCUAUGAGGAUGAGAAUUUGGUGCGUUUUGAUCAUUGCUAUAUCCCAAUUGCCUAUAAUAGUAGGCACUCAAUAUAGUUUUGUUGGAUGAAUGAAUUACUGCAUCUUAAUUUUACAGAGGAAUUUAAAUAAUGUUUUAACCAAAGUCACAUUCUAAUAAGUGGCAAAGCUGGUAUUUGACCUAAGGAACUACUUAAAUCAGAGAGUUUGGCACCAAAGAAACUACUUUAGUGACGCUUUCUUCCUUCCCUCUCUCUCUCUCUCUUCUAUUUUGUAAAGGUAAACAUUUUUUGAAGGAACCUUUUACCGGUAAAUUGAAGUAUAACAGAAAAAUGGCCAAAUCAUAAGUGUAAAAUUGGUUAACUUAUACAGAGGAGUUUUACAGAACCAUCUUUCAUAUUUAGAAAUUACCAGUUCCCCAUAAACCUCCUUCAUACCCCCUCCCAGUUAUUAGUCUCUCUUUCAGAGAUAGAUGCCGUUAUAACUUCUAUCACCUUAGAAUAGUUUUGAACUUUAUAAAAGCAGAAUUUUAUAGUAUAUACUCUUUAGUUUACACCUCUUUCACUCAACAUUUUAUUUGUGCUCUUAAAUAUAACAGUAAUUUGCUCAUUUUCAUUUAAAUAGUAUUCCGUAUUGUAGAGUAUGCAUAUUCCACGAAUAUACCACAAUUUAUCAUACAUUUUAUUGUUGAUGGACAUUAGGAUUGAUUCUAGUUUUUUGCUAAUAUGCAUAGUGCUAUAGUGCUGCUAUGGGCAUUUUUGUACAUGGUUUUGGUGAUCAUCUGUACAUAUUUUCUAUUGGAUGUGUACUAGAAGUGAAUGUUUCAGAUUUUGGGUAUAUUUAGUUAUUAUAGAUAUUGCCAGCCAAACAGUUUUUCAAAGUGCUUGUAUUAAUUAAUUCUUUUGUCUUUUCUUUGAUUUUGUAAAAAUCAAAUUUUAUUCUGAUUCUAUCACUGAUGGCUCUUUAACUUUCUUAAGGUUAUUUUAUUCAUAUGUUAAAAUGAGCAUUUUAAUUCAUAGUUAAAAUACAUAUUAUUUGGCCAGUUGUUUUGGUCUCUAUAUGCCCAGUGAAUCAUUUACAGGUAUCCUGAGGAACUGAGGAACUUACAUGAAAGUGACCUUCUGUUGUUUUUUCUGUGAAUGAAAAUGUUCUGGGAAACACUGAAGAGGACAAAAGAGAGGGAACAGGAAGGAGGAGAACUUUUGGAUAUUCCCACAGAUGGAUGAUUAGUUGAUGAAUUAAGGAGAGUCCUUGUCCCUGGAUAAUUCAGAAUGAACUUAUUUUCCCUUCACUAGAGCAGCAACUUACUCUGGGUAGCUUCACAGUGAACAGUGAGGAGAAGGAAUCUUGUAUUAUAAUUAAAGAACCAUUGUCCUAUAAUUGACACAUAUGUUCAGGUGUGAGUCAUUGAAAAAUGAUCAUAUUCUUACUGUGAAAUGAGAAUGGUCCAGGUGCAGCUGGUUCCUCAGAGAAGGAAAACUCAGCAUGGUGCAAUACGUGUUACAGGCAAGGCAGUGGGUGUGGUUUGAGGUACCAUGUUGCUUCUGGCUCAAGUUCUUGGGUUUUAUUCCACCUCUUGCUUGUAAGCCCUCUAUUACUUGUGGCUAUCAGUAGAGCAGUUCUUCCCAAACUUGAGCCUCCAAAUUACCUGGAGAACUUCCUGAGUCCCACCUCCAGAGAUUUCUAAUUCAGUAGGUUUGCCUAGGGUCCAGAUUUUCAUUUUUAACCAGUUCCCAUGUGCUGCUGCUGCUGCUGCUUAGUGUGUGGGCCACGCUUCGUGGAGCACCCAGUAGAGGUUUUUGAGAGGUUUUGAGGAACGGAUGAGUUUAAUGGGAAAGACUGAGUGUGUCAGGUGCUCUGAGGGAUGAUAAUGAUGAUGAUGAUGAUGAUGAUUAUGAAAUAUAGCCUAAAACAGAAAAGUGUACAAAAUGCAUUUUAAAAAUAUGUAUUUGUUCAAUUUAAAGGAUAAUGUCUUAAAAAACUCAAUGUAUUCACCAGCCAGGUCAAGAAGUAGAACAUCCCAGUGCAUUAAGGUAUGCCUGGGGUAACUUGGCUAGCUCAUAUUUUGUUUGUUUGUUUGUUUCCAUCUAUAGUCAUGAUUGAGGUUGACUGUAAUUUUCCUUCUUUGUAUUACGUUGGCUAAUUUUUGGAAUCAAGGUUGUGCAAAGUGCAUAAAGAAUCAAGGAGUAUUUUUCUCUUUUCUAUAGUCUGGAAUAGUUGGUGUUAAAUUGGAAUUAAAUUGUAUUUAAAAAUCAAUUUAUAUGCAUUCAAUAGUCAAAUAUUCUUGCACCAUAUGAAGGAAAAUAUCUCAGAAAACCCAAGAGACUAAAGUGCUGACUCAGUAUCUUUAAUGGUUACAAAACUAUUAAAGUUUCCUACUUAUUGAAUCAGUUUUUGUAAGUGGUGCAUUUCUAAAUUACUUUUUAUUUCAACGAAGUUUUCUAAUAUAUUUUUCCUUCAUAUCCAAGGAUUCAACCAGUAUAUAUCAAAAAUACUGUUUUCAUCUGUGGUUGGGAAUUCCUGGUUGAGAAUCUGUGGUUGGAAAUGCUGAAAUACUGUUUUCAAUCAGGGGUUGGUUGAUCUGAGGAGGCAAAACCCAUCUAUAAGUGGACCUGCGAGGUACAAACGGGUGUUGUUCAAGGGUCAACUGUCCUCACCUAGCAGCUGUGGAAGAUAAGCCUUAAAUGUAAGAUCCCUUGCUUAUUAAACCCAAUCUGGAAUGAC